rfam:Ipomoea nil DNA, scaffold: scaffold3170, cultivar: Tokyo-kokei standard.
GCGGAUGUAGCCAAAUGGAUUAAGGCGGUGGAUUGUGAAUCCACUGUGCGGGUUCAAUUCCUGUCGUUCGCC